rnacentral:rRNA from 1 species
AAGUCGUAACAAGGUUUCCGUAGGUGAACCUGCGGAAGGAUCAUUAUCGAAUUUUAGGGAAAAGAGGUGUAGAGAGGGCUGUUGCUGGCUGGGACCCUAUAGUCCCUUGCAUGUAUGUGCACGUCCCCCCUCACCCUUUCCUAUCUAUACACACCUGUGCACCUUUUGUAGAUCGACGAUCUCUCCUAGAGGAGAGGGGGAGGAGAUCUAUGUUUUUCAUCACACUAAAACUGUAUGGCCAGAAUGAAACAAAUGUGUAUUAUUAUAUACAACUUUCAGCAACGGAUCUCUUGGCUCUCGCAUCGAUGAAGAACGCAGCGAAUUGCGAUAAGUAAUGUGAAUUGCAGAUUUCCAGUGAAUCAUCGAAUCUUUGAACGCAUCUUGCGCUCCUUGGUAUUCCGAGGAGCAUGCCUGUUUGAGUGUCAUUUAAAUUCUCAACCAUUCUCUCUCUCUUUGAGUUAUUGGCUUGGAGUUGGGAGUUGCUGGCAGGUGGGGGAACCCGUCGGCUCUCCUUAAAUGUAUUAGCGAUCGAGUGUCAGGCUAGUCUUUGACGUGCACGGCCUUUGGCGUGAUAAUGAUCGUCAUGGCUGGAACGUCUUUCCUAGAACUAUGCACAAUAUACACAAGGUCGCUUCUAACCCUAGGUCGGUCUAUAUCCAGCUUGCUUAGCUACUAGGCAGAGUCCUUGUGAGAGGGGGCUGGCCGAACGCAGGCAAGGCGCGGGGGAGGGUGACUAGGCUUUAAUAAGAGACUUGACCUCAAAUCAGGUAGGACUACCCGCUGAACUUAA